rnacentral:rRNA from 1 species
GAUAAACGCUGGCGGCGUGCAUGAGACAUGCAAGUCGAACGGACGAUCGAGGCUUGCUUCGAUCGUUAGUGGCGGACGGCUGAGUAACGCGUAGGUGACCUGCCCCGAAGUGGGGAAGUAACUGCCCGAAAGGGUAGGCUAAUACCGCAUGUGGUGGUGUGUUCAAUCACACCAGUAAAGACCGCAAGGCGCUUCGGGAGGGGCCUGCGUCCGAUUAGCUCGUUGGUGGGGUAACGGCUCACCAAGGCGACGAUCGGUAGGUGGUCUGAGAGGACGAUCACCCAGACUGGGACUGAGACACGGCCCAGACUCCUACGGGAGGCAGCAGUCGGGAAUUUUGCGCAAUGGACGAAAGUCUGACGCAGCAACGCCGCGUGAGGGAUGACGGCCUCGG